AAUAGAUACCCGGGUAGUCCACGCCGUAAACGAUGUCGACUUGGAGGUUGUUCCCUUGAGGAGUGGCUUCCGGAGCUAACGCGUUAAGUCGACCGCCUGGGGAGUACGGCCGCAAGGUUAAAACUCAAAUGAAUUGACGGGGGGCCCGCACAAGCGGUGGAGCAUGUGGUUUAAUUCGAUGCAACGCGAAGAACCUUACCUACUCUUGACAUCCAGAGAACUUAGCAGAGAUGCUUUGGUGCCUUCGGGAACUCUGAGACAGGUGCUGCAUGGCUGUCGUCAGCUCGUGUUGUGAAAUGUUGAGUUAAGUCCCGCAACGAGCGCAACCCUUAUCCUUUGUUGCCAGCGGUUCGGCCGGGAACUCAAAGGAGACUGCCAGUGAUAAACUGGAGGAAGGUGGGGAUGACGUCAAGUCAUCAUGGCCCUUACGAGUAGGGCUACACACGUGCUACAAUGGCGUAUACAAAGAGAAGCGACCUCGCGAGAGCAAGCGGACCUCAUAAAGUACGUCGUAGUCCGGAUUGGAGUCUGC
rnacentral:rRNA from 1 species